rnacentral:rRNA from 1 species
CCCCUAGAUGUUCUGGGCCGCACGCGCGCUACACUGAACAGUUCAACAAGUCUUAACCUUGAUCGAAAGGUCUGGGUAAUCUUUGAAAGGUAGUCGUGAUGGGGAUAGAUCCUUGCAAUUUUUGAUCUUCAACGAGGAAUUCCUAGUAAACGCAAGUCAUCAGCUUGCAUUGAUUACGUCCCUGCCCUUUGUACACACCGCCCGUCGCACCUACCGAUUGAAUGGUCCGGUGAAUCUUUAGGACUGUGGCUGAGGCCUUGCCUUGUGCGGGUCUGGCCGUGGGAAUUUAGUUAAACCUUACCAUUUAGAGGAAGGUGAAGUCGUAACA